ensembl:lncRNA
AUGCAGACAGUUUAUGUUGUUUUUUGUCUGUCUGUUGUUUCUGCUGUACAGUGCCUGGAUUCCAACAUUAUCCGCUCCUCCAGAGAAAUGACAAACUCUCAAGAGUCAGUAUUGCAGCCACAGAGUGACACAGUUGCAAAUUCCCACAAUUAUGUUAGAAGAACCUCAGCUGUGCAGGGAAUCAGAGAAGCUACGCCUCCUGCGCACGACUGUACCACUGCACAAGCAGCUGAAUGCAAAGGCUCAAAGAAAAAACAGCACAAUGCUGCCAAGACAAAGAUUCAGUUGGAUGUGCAAGGAAGUCAAAAAGGUAAGGAUCCAGUUUUAUGUACUUUCAGUGUUUUUUUUUUUUUUUUACCAUGUAAAAUGUUUUUGGGUCAUACCUUUGGUCAAGUAUUGAUAUAUUAUCGCCUAUUAGUAAUUUUCCCUGUGCUGACAAGGACAGACAUUAUUGAAAUCAUUAACAACGUGCAUUCUCUGUCUGCAUCAGCCGUAAAAACUCUGCACGGGUGAAUUAAUGCUUUGUCAACAAUAGGAUAUUACAGUACAGUGAGCAAAACAGAGGUUUAAAAGACGAAACAUCAAACUGUUAAGUCAAAAUUAACAGUUCUUAAAAGUGAACUGAUAAAUUAGGACUAUAUAUAUAUAUAUAUAUAUAUAUAUAAAUGGUCAAAAUGACAUCAACAAUUGCAAGUGCAAGGCUUUUAAUG